GACCCCGAUUAGGCGUUCUAGGCGCUAGGCACUGGAUCACCGCCCGCUUAGCGCCUAGCGCUUUCGUGAACACUGAUAAGAAUAGAUACCUAUAUACCUUUAGUGAGAGGCAAUUAGAAAGUUAAUGGGAAAAUUAUAGAAGAGAAAAGCAACUAGAAGGUAGAAAAACAUGAAAAAUGUGAGGAGGUAAAAAUGUACUCAUGAUAAAAGGGUUGGGAAUGAAAUUAUAAGGAUGUGAAUGUUAGAAUUUCAAUGUUGUUUUCCUCUGAAUUAUCUAAAAGUGUUUUUUAGAACACUAGGAAACACCAAUUUUGAAGCUAGAAUAUCUCGGAAACGUCCCCAUAUCCAAAACAUUCCGUCCCCAUAACUACUUAUUGUCCCCGCCUUACUCGAAACGCCUUGGGGACGUUUCAGAGCUGUCCCCAUGAUGUCCCAGUUUCCGAAACGUCCCCGGUACGGGAACGGCUACCAAAUAGAAGUCCCCGUGCUUCCUAGCAAAAAACAACUUUUUGGAAAGUGAUUUGACAAUACUUUGUUUAACUCUCUUGAUAACAUCACUUCAUUCACCACUGUGGUUUUAAAAGGGAUUGCUCACAAACUUCUGAUCUUCUUUUUCUGGCAUUAGAGCUUUAGAUUGAUGAUGCUGCCACAUUAUAUAUAUAUAUAUAUAUAUUUUUGAAAUGAUUGAAUUUGGGUUUCAUUGAGCUAACUAAGAUCACAUUAGAGGAAAUCAUGAAUCAGAGAGGCAUCUGAUUGCUUGUGUUUAAGCUUGAAGAAAUGUUUGUUCAUUGCGCAGAUCAAAGAACAACUGGAUGCAGACAGUGUCGGUUUAUGUCUGUUGACGGACUUUGCAUUAACGUGGUAUCAGCGGCGUUCAAGGGAAAUCCUCAGUGAACAGGCAGAUGAUGAUGUAUAAAGCCAUAUGCGAGGAGGAGCUUCAGAAUGUGGUUCAUGCCGUUGAUCAGAUGACAACAAAGACUCCUUCACAAGUUUGAAAGGCUUACACAAGUGACCAAAGCUCUCAAUGAGCCUGCAAACAUUCUUGCUGUUCUAGAUUAUGUUGCGAACCUGUCAAACAUGAAGAAGGAAGAGCUUGCGGAGUUAAGUUAUGUGAAUUCUGUGAGGUUGUUUUCUUAUACAGGUUCUAAAUUUCUUACAGACCAGUAGAAAUGGUGUCUCUCUACAGAAUUGUAACAUCAUCUCUGAUCAAAGAGACAAAAGAACAAUCAUCUUCUGUUUCUGCUGUUGUGUGUUAUAUUAUUUGUUUGUCGUUAAUGUGUUUGGACAAACUCAUUCAAUACCAAAAUCAUCUCUCAUUAA